GACGAACGCUGGCGGCGUGCUUAACACAUGCAAGUCGAACGGAAAGGCCCUGCUUUUGUGGGGUGCUCGGGUGGCGAACGGGUGAGUAACACGUGAGUAACCUGCCCUUGACUUUGGGAUAACUUCAGGAAACUGGGGCUAAUACCGGAUAGGAGCUCCUGCUGCAUGGUGGGGGUUGGAAAGUUUCGGCGGUUGGGGAUGGACUCGCGGCUUAUCAGCUUGUUGGUGGGGUAGUGGCUUACCAAGGCUUUGACGGGUAGCCGGCCUGAGAGGGUGACCGGCCACAUUGGGACUGAGAUACGGCCCAGACUCCUACGGGAGGCAGCAGUGGGGAAUAUUGCACAAUGGGCGGAAGCCUGAUGCAGCAACGCCGCGUGCGGGAUGACGGCCUUCGGGUUGUAAACCGCUUUCGCCUGUGACGAAGCGUGAGUGACGGUAAUGGGUAAGGAAGCACCGGCUAACUACGUG
rnacentral:rRNA from 1 species